rnacentral:sRNA from 1 species
GGGUGUGGUGGCGCGUGCCUGUGAUCCCAGCAACUCGGGAGAUCUGAGGCAGGAGGAUCACGAGUUCAAAGCGAGCCUCAGCAACAGUGAGGUAUAAGCAUCUCAGUGAGACCCUGUCUCUA